GACGAACGCUGGCGGCGUGCUUAACACAUGCAAGUCGAACGCAGUGGCGAACGGGGGAGUAAUGCCUAGGAAUCUGCCCGGGAGUGGGGGAUAAAGUCCGGAAACGGGCGCUAAUACCGCAACCUAUCAGAUUAGCAUAGGUCGGAUUAGCUAGUUGGUGGGGUAAAGGCCUACCAAGGCGACGGGCCGUAGCUGGUCUGCGAGGAUGAACAGUCACACUGGAACUGAGACACGGUCCAUACGCCUACGGGAGGCAGCAGUGGGGAAUAUUGGACAAUGGGCGAAAGCCUGAUCCAGCCAUGCCGCGUGUGUGAAGAAGGUCUUCGGAUUGUAAAGCACUUUAAGUUGGGAGGCGUUACCAACAGAAUAAGCACCGGCUAACUUCGUGCCAGCAGCCGCGGUAAUAC
rnacentral:rRNA from 1 species